AUCCGGAAAAAAAACCUGCAGUUACAGUUAGUAAGCCUAAAGUUAGCUUAAACCCUGACCGGGCUGAGCCUCUUGCUGGAGCUGGAUUUUCCCGUCUCCAGCUUUACUAGCAUCAAUCGGACCACUUUCAGAACUGAACAGGGUUUCCCGUGCAUCCUUUUUCCUCUCCACACAAAGUUCAACGUUCUCUCUCCCAUUGCACACACGCAUGCCCCGGCCGCUCCCGAGAGCACAGAGAGUGAACCGAUAAAAAAAUAAAAAUAAACACAACUUGUUAUGGUAA